ACAAUGGAUACCGUCUACAAAAUUAUCAUUCUCGGACUUCUCUGCAACUUUCCAUACUGUUAUGCUUAUUUCAAUGGUUACAACGGUGAGAGGAGUUAUAAUGGAAACGGUGUUUAUGGAAGAAUAACACCAUAUGAUUAUCCUGUACCAUCAACUGGAUAUCUUGCGACCACAGAUAAUAGAUAUAACGGAUUUCAGGGUGGACUUGCUGGACAGAACGGAAUCUUUGGGCUCAUCAUAGCAGUUGUGGUUGUACAGUAUGUGUUGAAACUGAUACCUCAAUUCCAAGGAUAAAAACGAAGCAGAAUUCCUCCAUUUGAUCCGUCAUCGUGACAGCCAAAGGCACAGGGAAGACAUUGAUAUAGAAAUAAAUCAUACACAUCUAAACAAUCGGAAACCCUCGGCAGAUUUCGCUAUCCAGAUCAUCAGAGUUAUGCCGAAUGCACAAGUUUCCUGAUUGUGCGCAUUUAAUCAUUAAUGUUUUAUCUU